rnacentral:rRNA from 1 species
AUGGGGGUCGACUACUACAAGGUCCUCGGCGUCGACCGUGGCGCCAGCGACGACGACCUCAAGAAGACCUACCGCAAGCUCGCCAUGCGGUGGCACCCAGAUAAGAACCCCACCACCAAGAAGGAGGCGGAGGCCAAGUUCAAGCAGAUCUCCGAGGCGUACGAGGUCCUUAGCGACUCCCAGAAACGCACAAUAUAUGACCAGCUAGGGGAAGAAGGGCUCAAGGGACAGCCGCCUCCAGGGGCAGGAGGUCCUGGUGCAUCUUCCUUCUACCCUGGUGGUGGCCAGUCAACCUCAUUUCACUUCAAUCCGAGGAGUGCGGAUGAUAUAUUUGCUGAGUUUUUCGGAUUUUCUGGGCCUUUCGGCCUGGGUGGCAUGCCGGGUGGCAGCAUGAGAGGGGAACCAAGAUCUUAUGGUGGGGGCAUGUUUAGCAACGAGUAUCUCGCUUCGCGAUUUGCAGAGGGUUCUGCCGGCAAUAUGCCGCGCCCAUCACACAAACCAGCACCCAUUGAGAAUCGGCUUCCGGUGACCCUUGCGGAUUUGUAUAAGGGUGUAGCCAAAAAGAUGAAAAUCUCAAGAGAGGUCAUAGAGACCAGUGGGAGAGUUUCACAGGUAGAAGAAAUUUUGACGAUAGAUGUGAAGCCCGGUUGGAAGAAGGGGACAAAGAUCACCUUCCCUGAAAAGGGGAAUGAAUCUCCAAGCAUGACGCCUGCUGAUAUUGUCUUCAUCAUUGAAGAGAAGCCCCAUGAUGUUUUCACCAGGGAAGGAAAUGAUCUAGUCAUGACACAGAAGAUCUCGUUGGUGGAAGCACUGACUGGCUAUACCAUGCAACUCACAACGCUCGACGGGCGGAACCUGUCCAUACAAGUUAACUCGGUGAUCCACCCUAGCUAUGAAGAGGUGAUCCCUGGAGAGGGGAUGCCAAUACCCAAGGAGCCCGGUAAGAACGGAAAUCUGCGCGUUAAGUUCAGCAUCAAGUUCCCUUCCAGGCUGACGUCUGACCAGAAAGCUGGGAUCAAAAGGCUUUUGGGUUCUUAG